CGAGUGGCGCNCGGGUGAGUAAUGCGUAGGAAUAUNCCUUAAAGAGGGGGAUANCUUGGGGAAACUCAAGCUAAUNCCGCAUGAGCUCUACGGAGGAAAGCUGGGGACCUGAGAGGGCCUGGCGCUUUAAGAUUAGCCUACGUCCGAUUAGCUAGUUGGUGUGGUAAAGGCAUACCAAGGCGACGAUCGGUAGCUGGUCUGAGAGGAUGGUCAGCCACACUGGGACUGAGACACGGCCCAGACUCCUACGGGAGGCAGCAGUGGGGAAUAUUGGACAAUGGGGGCAACCCUGAUCCAGCGAUGCCGCGUGUGUGAAGAAGGCCUACGGGUUGUAAAGCACUUUCGGUGGGGAGGAGAGGAGACUGGUUAAGAGNUGGUUCCUGAGAAGUCACCCACAA
rnacentral:rRNA from 1 species